CAGCAUUGCAGAUCCCGCCUUCCUUCUUGUGGGAACCGUCCCGUCCGGCUGAAGUCACCUUAGGUCAUAACUACAGCCUCCACAUGCAUAAUAUAGCUGUUCUCAUCCAGAACCACCCAAGAUACCACAUUACAUCUAGUCAUCAUGUCUUCUUAGGCUCCUCUUGGCUGUGACAGUUUCUCAGAUUUGUAUUCCUUUUGAUGACCUUGAUGGUUUUGAGGAGCACUGGACAGCUGUUUUAUAGAAUAUCCUUUACUAGAAUUUAUCCAAUGCAUGAUAAAACUGGAGUUAUAGGUUUUGGGAAGGAAGACCACAGAGGGAUUGAACCUGUGCCCCUUGCAGUGCUGAGUCAACCACUGGACCACCAGAGAAGUCACCUUAUUGUAGUUUUGAUUCGCAUUUUUCUGCUGGCUAGUGAUGUUGAGCAUCUUGUUACAUUCUUUUUGACCAUUUGCAUAUCUUCUUGGAGAAAUGUCUAUUCAGAUCCUUUG
ensembl:lncRNA